GUGAGUCAUCGAAUCUUUGAACGCACAUUGCGCCCCGUGGUAUUCCGCGGGGCAUGCCUGUUCGAGCGUCAUUUCACCACUCGAGUCUGACUCGGUAUUGGGCGCCGCGGUGUCAACCGCGCGCCUCAAAGUCUCCGGCUGGGCGACCCGUCUCCAAGCGUUGUGGCAUACGUCUCGCUAGGGAGCCGCGGGUAGUCUCGGCCGUUAAACACCCCAUCACAGGUUGACCUCGGAUCAGGUAGGGAUACCCGCUGAACUUAAGCAUAUCAAUAAGCGGAGGA
rnacentral:misc_RNA from 1 species